UACAGAAAAUACUACACUCCUUCUCUGCAUCUAAACUCUCUCUCUCUCUCAAGUUCUUUGAAGCAAAGCUCUCUCCAUUUUCUGCAUGAAACACUUUCUAUGUUCGUUUUACAACACGUUAUCAGCACGAAUAGCUCUACGAUUUGGAUUGCAGAUUGACAAGAGGAGAGGUGAAUAACUCUUGGGUUGCAGAGAAGAGGCAGUUCAUCAUUCAAUCAACUUCACUCUACCAGCUCUACAACCAAACCAGCUUGAGCCCAGCAGGCCCACUCUCCCUCUGCGGGACCUAGCAGCCCAGCAGGCCUCACACACCAUUUAAAUUACGCAUGAAAGGCCGGGUCACAAGCCCGCAGACUAAGCCCGAUAGGCUUCACUAUCAAGCCCAUUCCUUUGGUCCAGCAGAAUCAAAUAAAAGGAAAAAUGAUUUGAUUCUACUGAGAUUUGAACCCAGACAAUGUACAUGUCAUUAUGGCUAUUGCAAAUAAAUUCACCAUAUUUCAUAUGUGUAAUUAAUUGCCAGAAGCAUUUAUUCACAUAAUUGUGUGACAAUUAAUAUGUUAUAUUACUAGCAUGCAAUUAAUAUCUCAAUUGAUUUGUGAUUUCCAUUUA